rnacentral:snRNA from 1 species
AGCUUUGCGCAGUGGCAAUAUCAUACCAAAGCGGUUUAUCCGAGGUGUGAUUAUUGCUAAUUGAAAGGCUUUAGGGGGAAAAAAAG